CUGUGGCUACCGAGGCUAAACCGUGGCAAGAGGUCAUCUAGACCAACCUUCUACUUAGAGGAACUUCAUUAUCAAUGCUAGAUCAGGCCUGCCUCCAUCACAGAAGGCCCAUGGAGCUGUCAGACACCUACAGCAUUAUUUUGAAAGCAUCACAGAGAGACUGUGCAGAAAGAGAUCUGCCCAGUCUCUCUCACACAAAAUGUUACAUCAAGUCCUGGUAAAAAAGCUGAGGGAAGUGACAGACAUCUGCCAUGCACCUUGAAGAACCAAAGAGCAGAGUAGGGAAUUAACUGUCACUACAGGAAAAAGUCACAGUAAAAAGACACUGGGGAAAAGAAAACACAGGAUGUCACACUUUCCAAUGAUUAAACACUUUCUGAAGAUGUUUGAAUGCCAAGAGAGAUUGCUGAGGAUUUUUGCAUCCCAUGUAAAACCAGGACAACUGGGAACUGCAAGGUUCCAUGCUCAAAGGACUGGAUUUGUAUCUUUUAGAUGUAUUAAUCAAGAGUUACUUUUAAAUGAAUGGGCAAGCGGGAGUUCAUGGAGCACUGAAUUUCUUUAGGUCUAAUCGCUAAGCUGAUGGGAUUUCCAUUACAAGAAACUUAUGGCUUCAAGCCAUGUAAACCCCGAAAAAGAUCAAAAUAUUAAUCAUUUAGUCUGACCAACAAUUAUCCAUCAAAGCCUUUUUCAGCCAAAAGAUGGAUCAGAAGUUGAGUUAGCUUGUCCAUAAAAUGCUGAUGUUCAGAGAGUCUCUAAAGCCUUUGGGAUUUCUGACCCUCCAGUAAGUUCUAUUUUCUCUACAUGACAAGAUCUGCUCCCUCCCCCACAGCAAGCAGAGCAAGAUGUAGCUGAACUGGAACUGUGGGAGGUGGUACCCUCUGGAGAAGCUGUGCCUGUGUUUCAGCAGAUCUACCCAAUCCCCUUCAUAAUGACUUCAAUAAAUCAGGGAGCUCACUAUAAUGAAUCUGCUAAAUAUGUGAACAU